rnacentral:rRNA from 1 species
GAUGAACGUUGGCGGCGUGCCUAAUACAUGCCAGUCGAGCGAACAGACGAGGAGCUUGCUCCUCUGACGUUAGCGGCGGACGGGUGAGUAACACGUGGAUAACCUACCUAUAAGACUGGGAUAACUUCGGGAAACCGGAGCUAAUACCGGAUAAUAUAUUGAACCGCAUGGUUCAAUAGUGAAAGACGGUUUUGCUGUCACUUAUAGAUGGAUCCGCGCCGCAUUAGCUAGUUGGUAAGGUAACGGCUUACCAAGGCAACGAUGCGUAGCCGACCUGAGAGGGUGAUCGGCCACACUGGAACUGAGACACGGUCCAGACUCCUACGGGAGGCAGCAGUAGGGAAUCUUCCGCAAUGGGCGAAAGCCUGACGGAGCAACGCCGCGUGAGUGAUGAAGGUCUUCGGAUCGUAAAACUCUGUUAUUAGGGAAGAACAAAUGUGUAAGUAACUAUGCACGUCUUGACGGUACCUAAUCAGAAAGCCACGGCUAACUACGUG